rnacentral:misc_RNA from 1 species
AUGUACUUCAUCUUCUGGCGAACCAAUCCUCCAGAGAUGCAAAUUUCUUCACAUCGGACGACGACCACCUUCUGGCCAUUGAGAAGUUCCUUAGCUAUGAUCGAAGCAAGCCUCCCGAGCAUGUGAUGCCUUGCGUCAACGACGACGCGCUUCGCGCAGAUUCCAGAACCCGACACCAUUUUUGGUUCAGCGGCUACUCUCUCAGUCUCAGCGAGCAGCUAGGGUUUUGGGAGAGAAGACCCGCCCCCUUCUCAACAUCGACCCCG